AAUACCUCUCACCUACGACGUUUCAUGUGGGCAUCUUAACGGAUAUGUGACCAUGGAUUUCGGGUAUAUAAACUCCGUCGGCUGUUGCAGUAGACAUACUUUCAGUCUAGCUUCAGACAAGCAAACGUACAACAAUUCGAAAUGGCAAAGCUCGUAAUGAUCGCUGUCUUGGUUGCCUUCGUGGCCGUUGCCUCAGCCGCCAGUUUCGGUGGUUUGAAAGACCUAGCUGGAAACUACUAUGACUUCUCCACUGGUCAAUACUCCAGCGCUCUGACUGGCAAAGUUUACAAUACUGCACCUAUCGCCUACGUUCCUCCUGUUGCUCCAGUUGCCCCAGUUGUGGCACCAGCUUCUCCUUACUACUAUGCGGCCGCUCCUUACCCUUACAGCGCUGCCUACGUUGCCCCAGUCUGGAAAUAGGUACUUGGUAAAAGGUACUACCGUUUUUCCGGGGAUGACUCAUCUGGUUGUAGACGUUAUUUAAUUUCAUCCGAGCCAAACUUUUUUACCUAAUUUAAUUUCUCAAGACAAAAUACCAAAAUAUAUUGGUUGCCAUAAUUGUGUAUAUUUUGUAUACGCAGAAAAAUAAACUGAAUAUUUUGGUUCCAA